UCCAGGUCCUGAGCCCAACUCACCCUGCAGGUUUCGUAAUCUGAUAAUCUGUAGCAUUAUCACUAUUUCACAGGCAAUUUUAGCCAAAAAGACAUGACCUGUGUUUAGUUAAAACUCCCAUUAAGCAGAUGUACUUGGAAAAGGGGGGUGUCAGUGGUUUGCAGAGGGGAAUGAGAAUGUUAGGCCAACAGCAUGGGGACCAGGGAGGUCCCCAAGGAGGAUUCUGCAGAGAGUGAAAGGAUGUGUUACUCACGAUGCCUGGGCAACUGGCUAAAUGUAGAGUGUGUCUGACAAGGCCACGUGGUGGGGCUCACUUUGUUCUUUAAUUCCUUCCCACUCUCUGUGUCUUUUUGAGCACUGAAAAUCAUAUUAAUUUGUUGACUACUGAACCCCUCCAAGGAUCCAGUGAAAGUCAUGACUGUUCUUCUCAGGAAAUUGUACAAAUGCAAAGACCCACAAAACAGUGUAUAUGAUGUCU
rnacentral:lncRNA from 1 species